GGGGAGGACCCCAAAAUUCAUCCUCCUCCUCCUCCUCCUGCCGGGCGGGUCAAAGGUCAAACCCCCCAAAACUCGGAGGAGCCGCAGCCCCAAAAACUCAGAAAUCCUAAAAACAGGAGAGAAUUUGGGAGAGCUGGAACUCAGAAACCCCAAAACCUGGAGAGACAGAACCCAGAAACCCCAAAAGGUGGAGAGACAGAGCUUGAAAUCCCAUAAAACUGGGACAUUGAAACCUGGGAACCCCAAAACCAGACCUGGGAACCUCAAAACUUGGAGAGACAGAGCCUGAAAUCCCAUAAAACCAGAAUAUCAAGACCUGGGAACCCCAAAAUCUGGAGAGACAGAACCUGGGAUCCCAUAAAACUGGGACACCGAGACCUGGGAACCCCAAAACUUGGAGAGACAGAGCUUGAAAUCCCAUAAAACCGGAAUAUCAAGACCUGGGAACCUCAAAACCAGACCUGGGAACCCCAAAACCCGGAGAGACAGAGCCUGAAAUCCCAUAAAACCAGAAUACCAAGACCUGGAAACCCCAAAAUCUGGAGAGACAGAGCCCAGAAACCCCAAAAGGUGGAGAGACAGAGCUCGAAAUCCCAUAAAACUGGGACAUUGAAACCUGGGAACCCCAAAACCUGGA